UGGGGAAUAUUGCACAAUGGGGGAAACCCUGAUGCAGCGACGCCGCGUGAGCGAAGAAGGUUUUCGAAUCGUAAAGCUCUGUCCUAUGGGAAGAUAAUGACGGUACCAUAGGAGGAAGCCCCGGCUACCUACGUGCCAGCAGCCGCGGUAAUCCGUCGGGGGCAAGCGUUGUCCGGAAUCACUGGGCGUAAAGGGUUCGAAGGCGGAAAUGUAAGUCAGUUGUGAAAGGCAGAGGCUCAACCUUGGUAAGCAAUUGAAACUGUAUUUCUUGAGAGGUGGAUAGGCAAGUGGAAUUCCUAGUGUAGCAGUGGAAUGCGUAGAUAUUAGGAAGAAUACCGGUGGCGAAGGCGACUUGCUGGACACAAACUGACGCUGAGGAACGAAAGCGUGGGUAGCAAACAAG
rnacentral:rRNA from 1 species